AUGGACAGUUGGAGUGCACCUAUCAAGUGCUCCCAAACUUUCGGCCUCACCAGGUCUGGGCCGCGCGCUGGCGUGGUGAAUGAUGGCAUCGUGCAUUGGUUGUACAAGGACAAUGCAAACUUCUACAUCCUCAACAUAAGCGCUGACGCAACACAUGGCUCCUUAACCAAGAUCCCUAUUCAAGUCAAAGGUGGCUUGUCAGCACCGUUCCCGUGCAUACUUAAGGAAGGAAAGCUCUCAUUUGUGAAUAUCGGAGAUAAAGAUGUCCUUGAACUUUGGACCAAGCAAGAACAAGACGAGCAUAGUUGUGAGGGUAAGGAAGGAUGGGUGCACUCCGAGUUGGCGCCCCUAGAGGUCAAGGGAAUUCAGAUCUUGUCCUUCGCAGAGAGCUUAUGCGUGAUAUUUAUGGUGCAAAAAGAGUGUCGUAGAAUACUCACUCUUAACCUCGUCAGCAAUAAAAUGGAGGAAGUGAUAGAGGAAUACAGACAUGUUCUAUUCGUACAAUUGUUUCGAAGAGUGGAAAAACCAGAGUCAUGUGCUCUACUAGGUAGAUUGGCCGUCGUACCUAUUUCACCUAUCAGUUGGAAACUAUGA
rnacentral:rRNA from 1 species